AGCGAACGCUGGCGGCAGGCCUAACACAUGCAAGUCGAACGAACUCUUCGGAGUUAGUGGCGGACGGGUGAGUAACACGUGGGAACGUGCCUUUUGGUUCGGAAUAACUCAGGGAAACUUGUGCUAAUACCGAAUGUGCCCUUCGGGGGAAAGAUUUAUCGCCAUUAGAGCGGCCCGCGUCUGAUUAGCUAGUUGGUGAGGUAACGGCUCACCAAGGCGAGGAUCAGUAGCUGGUCUGAGAGGAUGACCAGCCACACUGGGACUGAGACACGGCCCAGACUCCUACGGGAGGCAGCAGUGGGGAAUCUUGCGCAAUGGGCGAAAGCCUGACGCAGCCAUGCCGCGUGAAUGAUGAAGGUCUUAGGAUUGUAAAAUUCUUUCACCGGGGACGAUAAUGACGGUACCCGGAGAAGAAGCCCCGGCUAACUUCGUG
rnacentral:rRNA from 1 species